UUUUGCUACACUCAGACUCUGUGCCUGUGCAAGGGGAAGUAUUGCCUCUUAGAGGCACCCAAGUGGUGGUGUGUAAUUGUUCCAGGUCACUGGGUGGGGGCUCGAGCUGGUUUUGUGUUGCAGUGUUGAAAACGAACCCCUAGACACUGAACCCAGCCCUUGUUGCUGCCAAUUCUGACUGGCAGAAGGGCUACUAGAGGAAAUGCUUGCUGAAGCAAGAGAGACACUCAGCUCCAGUGACCAUCACUGGUGGGAAGAAAGAAUUGAGGAGGCGGUGGGUCGGCAGGGACCUAUAUGCAGUGACAUGAAGGCGCGACUCCAGGGGGGCACCCAGGCUGAUCCAACGGGUACUGUUGGGGAAAAAAAACUUUCCAAUGUCUGUGCAUGCGGCAUGCAUACAUCUUCUUGGAAUGGACAUGAGCAACACAUCUCGAAGAACAACAGUUACGAGAAGGUAGGUAACCGUUUUUUAUUGUUGCCGCUGCAUAGGUGGCUGCUGAUCAUGAUGAUGUGUCCAGUCCUCCACCCCAUGUAUUGUUGUGGGUAUAUAGAGUUUUGUGUAUAUAUAUUUGUGAAAUCUGUCUUUUUAUUGGUCACUAAUCUCACACAUGUUACCACUCAUCACAAGGGCUCCUUUGUUUAUAAAUUUGGAGCCAGCCUGCUUGUGUACAACAGGUGUAUUUUUGAUUUUUUGGUUGCCUGAAAACUUGGUGGCAUUUUCUUACUCCAUCUGACAUCUCCUAUUUAGACUCUAAGUGGCUAUCUAUAGUAGGGUCACCAGACAGCAAGUGUGAAAAAUUGAGACAGCGGGUAGGGGGUAAUAGGUGUCUAUAUAAGUCAAAGUCCCGAAUAUCGGGACUCUCCCUAUAAAAUUGGGACAUCUGGUCACCCUGAUCUAUAGUCUGGGCUCAGACCCGAGGAAGGGCUCUGAGUAACUCGAAAGCUUGUCUCUCUCACCAACAGAAGUUGGUCCAAUAAAAGAUAUUACCUCACCCACCUUGUCUGUCUAGUAUGUAGAAAGAUUGUUUAAAUUAUGACACUUUUCUUCUAUAAGCUAUUUUAAAAAAUUCUUAUUUAAUUAAAAAUUCAAAGCAGUCCUAACAUUAUGUCCUUAGAACCUUUUGAUAAAGUAGAUAGCUGUGUGAACAUCUGUCCUCCAGUUUUCCUUGGCUAUCUGUUCAAUAUUCUUUUGUUUUUUGUAUAUUUGGAAAUUGGUUCUAAGUCACCUUUCUACUGUUUAAAAUAAUUGUUAUUGGUUAGAUCUUAGGAGAGAAGUUACUUUCUGCUUUCCAGUUUCUUAUAACAGGAUCAAAUGGAUCACCUUAGUUUCAGUUCAGAUAGAGUUUCAUAGGAACAAUGAAAUGACUGCAAGCACAUAUUGCCAAUUCUAGCCUGUAGGAUUUCUCUCUCCUACCUUGAAAGGUGGCAAGACAAUUACGGAUAUCCUUGUAGAUCUUCUUUAAAGCUGGGCAGUGAAUGAAAUGCAUAACCUUCCAACUCAAUGACAUUUAACCCAACCACACAUCAGUUCAGGCAGAAAAAUAAAUUGGUACUCAGCUGCUCCCUGUCUAUUUUUCUGGUUAGGGCUAUAAAUAAAAGAAAUUAUUGUGGUUUCACCUGUGUGAUUUUGUGUGUACGUGUGCUUUGUUCUGUUGUUCCCAACAGGAAGGACUGGAGGAGGCUGUACCCAGACUUUAUUAUGCAGCUAACCAUUUAAAACAUCUAUAUUCAAUUUCACAUUCCUUUAAAAAAUGCUUGUUAAGCUGUAUAUAGACCACCCACCUUUUCUUCUGUCUUUUAUCCUUUCCCUUCUUACUCAUGCAAUGCAAUUGCAUCACUCAGUUGUGACAUUAAAAUGACAGUGUACCAUACACUAUUGUAACCAAAAGUAAUAUCCUGCUGAAAUGAGGUCUGAGCAUAUUUACACAAUAAUGUAUAGACUCUAUAACUAGUAAUGAUGUACCAGAGGACAGAAUGGUAAGAGAUAUACAGAAAGUGAAGCUUUUAGGUGGAUAUGAAAUCUAUCUUUAAAAAAGUAGCAGUGAGUAAUCUCCUGCACCAAACUCCUUUAUCCUUUUCCAAAGACAUUUUUAGUUUUCCAUAGUGUUUGUAAGCUCACAUGAUCUCACAAAAUGCUAUAGAUUCCUAUCUGCCCCCCCCCAAAAAAAACCACAACCAAACAAAAAACUCCUUGUUUUAAAAAAACUCUUACAAUGGCAAGACCAAAACCCUUUUUUGUGAGCAGUGCUAAAUGAAUCCUUGCCAUUUCUUAGCUAAUGAGGAACUUGUUUUGUGUUCUGUAAAUGCUUAGCACUUAGCAGUGUUAGUAAUGCUUAAAAAAAAGUCUUUAAAAUGGUUCAGUUACCAAGUGCUUUUGACUCUCUCAGUAAGACAUUGAAGCAGACCUUCUGCUCUGAAUUAAUAAGGCCAAUCCAAAGCACACAAAGCCCAGAGUGACCGAGUAUUCUUCUGGUGUCUUCACUGUCUGUACAGAGAUCAGAUAAAUCACUCUCAAGCAGUUAAAUCAAUGAUAAUAAAUUAGGACCCUAUUUUUACAGCACCUUGUGGUAAAUUCUCAUGGUUAGAUUAAUUUAUCAGCUGCAGUGAAGAGCACCUCCCACAAGAUCAUGUCAGGGAAGAUGUUUUUCUUUUUUUAAAGGCAAAAAGAAAUGACUGAAUUAUUUGUUUUUACAUAAUACACAAAAUGGAAUUCCUCAGCCUAUCCCAGCUAAUUCAUGUUUCAAUUGUACCCAGCUGUUUAAAUUGCACUGCUUAGAGAUUGCCUUGAUCCCCAGGUGCAGGUACUCCAUCUGUGCUGCUCUGAGAGACUAUUUACAGCAGAGGUUAGGCCAGUGAUUGCUGGGAUGGAAAACUCAUUUCUCAGCCUGGCUUUUAUUUACACUCUUAUUAAAGAUCCUUUCACUCAUGUUGGAAUGGCAGCUAGUGGCUGCAGUGAACAUUUGGCGCUGAGCCAAGCAGCAAAAUUACCAUGUUGAUGAAAGAUAGUCUGCUUCCAUUUUAACCUUUUACUGUUCUCCCCUUUCCAAGUAUAUUUGCAUGAAGAAGAAUGAUUAUUGAAAGAGAUAGGGGGACAAAAGAGGAAAGAAACCUUGUCAGCUGAGCUCUCCAAGUUAAAAAUAACUGUUUGCCACCAAUUUGGAAAAAAAAAAGUAUUGCUUUAUUAAUUGGAUAUGCCUUUCCCUUAAUUAUUAUUACAGUCUGUUUUCUUGUGAAACAGUAGAGCCACUCAUGUCUCCCUCCUGCCCUCUCCCCCCAACCUUGUGAACACUUCCUGGGAUAUAACUGUAGUGAAGCGGUUUCUAUUUCAUCUCAGAUGCAGUGCACAGACAGCCGCAGCAACGCCCUGAAAAUACUUUGCCUAAAAAUAUUUGCCCUUCAGUUAGAAAUUAAUCAUCUUCCUGAAUGUAAGCUCUUAGUGCAAUUUGUACAAUCCAUCUUCCUUUAGAGAAAGGAAAGAUAUUGGCUCUUGCUGUCUAAGGCUGCCCUGCCAUUCAGCAAUGUAGCUAUCGACCUGGCAGUGGUUUUUUGUUUUUACAUAUUGUCCAGAAACAUCUGUUUCCAGGACCAAGAUAUGAUUGCUUAACAGUAACAAAAUCCAGAUCAGCUGCAUUAAGACAACGAACAAUGUUCUUGAGUGCCAGCUGCAGUGUGGCCACAUCUAAGAGCACAACAAUGAGAAGAUGCAACCAAAUCCCCAACCUCACUGCUACUGCCCAAGCAAAUACUUUCAACAUAAAACACCCAAACAAAAAUGCCAGGGUGGUGCUACUUCUUGGUUGUUGGUACUACACUGCUUCCUCCUCCUAGGUGUUUGAGUUAGAGGAGGAGAUUCCACUUUAGCUUCCCUUUCCCUUGGGAAGAGUGUUUUUAUUUGGGGCUGGUCUUAAAAUCCCAGGUCCUGCAGUUAUGGGAUUCGGUAAAAAUCUCAGCUUCUUUUUCGAGAGAUGAUCCCUAUGCGGAUUCCAAAUGUGGGUGCGCAUGCACGCCAGGCACCAGAGCUGGAACUGUUCAUAGUAGUGUCUGUUGAACUACAUGUGCGGCACUCUCAUGACACGUCCAAGGCUUUGAGGCUGUAUGGGUCAAUGCCACUCCAGUUCCUUCUUACAGCUGCAUGGCCAGCAUCAGAACCCCUGAGCCUGCUAAAAGAUCUGCUGUCCGCUUCUUUUUUGCACAUAGUUUCUAGUUGUAUAUAGUUGUUUGCUACUGCAGUUAGUUAGAUCUUCCUUGGACUUUUAUCCCUGCGGAGCCCUUACCCAGGGGACUAUGCCUAGGCAAGCCGGUUUUAACAACUGUGCUUUGUGUCUGCGUACCUUCUCUGUCAGCAACAAACAACACUGUUGCCUUUACUGGCUUGGCAAAGCACCAUCGUCGCCCAUUGCUCCAUCUGCCGUUCGUUCCCCUCCAGAACUCAAGCAGCUUGAGAACUUUGCCACUGCAAGUACCUAAUGGAGGAGGCUAUGCGCUACCAGAUCCGCCAGAGCGGCACCUGCAGCGCCUCCCUGGGCCCAAAAAGCUCGAAAACCUUAACACUUAAGGUGCACAAGCAUUAUUUCUUUUCAAUGCCAUGGGUUUUAAGGGCCUUGGCUACACUUGAAAUGCUACAACUGCACUGCUGUAGCACUUCAGAGUAGACACUACCUAUGCUGCAGGGAGGGAGUUCUCCCAUCAGUGUAGGUAAAAUCUACUUCCCCCAGAGUGGGUAGCUAGGUCAACAGAAAAAUUUUCCCAUUGACCUAGCACCAUCUACAUGGGGACUUAGGUCAGCUUAAAUACAUUGCUCAGUGUUGGGGCGGGGGAGGGAUGUUGCCUUUUCACAACCCUGAGCGACAUAGCUGGGUUGAUCUAAGUGUAGGCCAUGGAAUAUAUUGCUAUAAUAUUUAGAAAUAAAAAGAAUAGUUUCACUGUGGUGAGGAGCCUACAAAGGAGGCCAACAGGUCCAAUCCAAACACUUUAACUCUUGCAAAUUAAGUCUGGCCAAAUCAUUCACCUUGUUUCUGCUAGAGAGAGUUUUCCUGUUCCUGUAGAACUAAUUUUGAUUAUCGAGUUGUUGUUGUUGAUGUUGGUAAUUGUGGAGAUAUUUAGGGCAUGAUUUUUGAUUAGUUCCCCAAACAUUAGCAUAUUUGCUUUCUUCUCAGAAUCAACGGAUCCUGGGGGUUUCCAGAAGGGGACAGCUUUGCUUGAAGCUGAAGCUCUGAUCCUGUAAAAGCUUAAACAUGUACCUGAAUAAUCCCAUUGACUAAUAUGCAUAAAGUUAAGAGCAGCAGCUUCAGCACUGGAGGAACCCCAGAGACACAUCUCAUAGGCGAGAUUUCAAACCAAAAACGCACCCAGACAGAAGUGCUGAGGCAAAAGCUACUGAAGCUCCAAAGUGAAGGCCCAAGGUCACUGAACCAAAGUGCCUCUGAGGUCUGGUACCCUGUUGGUGCCCCUGAAUAUGCAGUGAGAUCACCAAAAUAGAACAAGCAGGAACAGAGAUGGGAACACUUGAAAGGAUAGUGAAGCAGAAUAGGUGCUGAGUUGCCUGAAGAACUGGAUCGGUGCUGCUGGGAGCUCGUUUUCCACCCUUGUGCAAGAAGAACUGAUGGGAUAAUUCCAGAUGUAACAUUUAAGUUUAGAAGAGGCCUGAGACCAUUAGUACAGGGAUUGGCCUUGCAUUCCUAGCUCGUGCUGCUGCCUUUAGGGAACAACAACAAAAACAAAAAGAGUCUUAAGAAAAUCUUAAGGGAAUUCUGACUGUCUUGCUUUCGGGAACAAAUAUUCAGGAGUGAAAAAUUAGGCACAUCUGAUAUCUUUAAAGACAGGACAAUUACGUUUUAACAUGCCCAGAGAGGAAAAUGGCGUUCGAAUCCAAGAGACAAGGUGGGCGAGGUAAUACCUUUUAUAGGACCAGCUUCUGUUGGUGAAAGAGACACAUUGUCAAGCUUACAAAGAGGUCUUCUCCAGGUCUAAUCCCAAACUGUUAAUUGGUUUAUGGCCACAAAAAUGACUGUUUAUCACCUGCAUAUAUGUUUUGUCUUAUAUAAUGUAGCUGUAGCUAGCCUGAUCAUUCAUACAAAUACCUAAGCCUUUUAAAAUCCUACUUUAGUUCUUUGCCUCAUAUCUGGUGGCAGCACAGACUAGGUCUGCAGACUAAUUAUGCAGGGAGUAAAAAUAUAUUUCCUUAGAUCAUGUUUAAAUUUGUCCCUUCUUAAUUUAAUUGGAUGAGUCUUGCUCUUGUAUUGCCAAAUAGGGUGAAGAAGAGCCCCCCCAACCGACCUCUUCUGCACCAUUAUUUUUUAUACCUUUGUUAUGUUCCCUCUUACUCAUCUUGCUUUAGAACUACAUAGUUGUUCUUUCAGUCUCCUCCUUAGCUUUCCAUACCGCUAAUCAUUUCAGUUGUCCUUCCACUGUUUUGCAAAGUAGAACACUUUAAAAAAAUCCUUCUUUGUCAUUCCCCAUAAAAGCAGGACGUGCAAUAACUUUAGCUUAUACACUCUUCCUGCCACAGUUCUACAGUAGACCGGGGAUCAGUAAACGUUGCAACCUAGGCUCAUACGCUAGAAACAUUGAGCAGCUAGCAGAGGAAUGUGUUUAAGUAGAUAUCAUUUUUCAGGCCAUUAACAGCUUUUCAGUAAUUAGGCAAAACACAGUAAAAUGCUACAACUUGCAUCAUUCCUCUAUGAUGUUUAGUUAAUUCCUGACAUCCUGUAAAAGUAGCAAGCAUAAAUUAUAGUGCCAAACAGUUCACAAUAUAUAGGAUGUAUAAAGAGAAAUUAUUACUUUGGGUCUGAGUUGCGAAUGCUGCCUAAUUCCUAAGGAAUGAAAAUGGCAAGCACAUUACACUAGCCACUCUAAUGCAUAGUUUAGACCAGUGCUUCUCAAAUGUGGCCACAUACAGCCAGCGGGAGCUUUUUUUGCGGCCACAGCCUCCUAGGCUGUUAUAGGCCGGGGUCGGGCAAAGUAAAGACCCCUCCCUGUUGCUCCUGAAGGCACUGCCUUGGUGUUAGUUGCUGGGGCCGCCAGCAGUGGUUUGGCCCUGCUCCCCCUGUGGAGGCACCUGGGACACAAUUUGGAGGACCAGGCAGGUGGUGAGUUCCCCACCUUCCCAGGGGUGGUGGGGUUCAGGCUUUGGGCUUCAGGAGCCCUGGGGUGGCGGGAGAACGGGGCAGCAGGCUCUGGGCUGCAGCUCCCCACCCACCCCCAUUGCCCCUAGCCCCCACUGCCUUCCCUGAACCCUCCUCCCCCCCCUCCCCGAUCCAGGGCUUAAUUUGUCCCCAUGCUUGACAGGGCUGAGUAAGUCUGCUGUGAAAAGCCUACUUGUAUGCUUGUCAAUAUCACUUUUCACAACAGACUCACUAAUUAUAAUGAUUUAAAUAGCUAUAUGUGCGUAUUUAUUUGUUUUUCCUAAAGCAAAUUAAGUAUUUUAGGAAGACGUGUGAGAGCGGCCACCAGCAAGAGUUGGUGGCAGCACUUUGAGGCCACCAAAAAAUUUGUCCAGCGAACCCCUGGUUUAGACUGUAUCUGAGGGGAGAGCAAUAGAACCACUCUAGGGCUAGUCAUUUAAGAAUAUUGUACUUGGAAGGGCACUGAUUAUAGGUUAAAAAAAGGCUUUGAUAUUCUUUAGUUCCUUGUCAUUGCAUACUAUAGACCAGAGGUGGCCUAGCUGCAUGUGGUGCUUUUACAGUUAAAGUACGGCUUGCGGGGCCCCUCCCCCAUUCUCUGCCUACCAGAUGGGGGGGCAGGGGAGUUCAGGGUUUCUACCCUGCAGCAGCAGGGUGGGGCUAGGGGCUUCUGCUGAAGAUGAUUGGUACCUGCUGAGAGUGGGGGGCACAAUUUAAAGGUUCAGCUACCCCAACAGCUUGAGUCCCGCCCCCCACCCCCACCCCAGGCAUGCCCCACCCGUUACCUUCAGCAGCCCCUCCCUGCAGCUCCCAGCUGUUAGCUCUGCAUGGUGAGGCAGCGGUAAACAGCUGGGAUCUGCAGGGAGGGGGCGGCUGUUUAGGCACCGCAGGGAGAUAGCAGUGGCUCUUCCUCCAGCUCCCAGCUGUUUGCCACUGUAUUGCCCCACAGCUGCAGCGCCCAGCUUGUCGGCUCCAGCACCUAGCCCACACACAUUGCCUCUGGCUUCAGACCAGUGGGAAUGGGGUCUUGGGGCUUCAGCCCUGCAGAGCACUCCUGCCAGGGCUCAGGGCUUCAGCAGGAGCAAGGCAUCAGCCUCAAGCCCUGGCAGGCACCUCCCAUGGGGCUGAAGCCCCAAGACCCACCCCCCCAAACCUCCCCGCAAGGCUGAAGCCCCGAGCCCCAGCAGAUGCACCCUGACGCUUCAACUUCUGAAGACUGUUGUAUGUGGCUUGGGGGUCAAUACAUUUGGCCACCCCUGCUCUAGACACUUGUUUUUGCACAUUCCAGAACAAAGAAAGGAGAUACAACCCUUGCCCCCACUAGGCAUGACUCAGCCAUAAACAAUGGGGCAUAUACUGAGGAAGAGCCAGGGUAAAAGUAAUCAAAAACCACACAGCUGCGCACUUCCUAGUAUGGUAAGUGACCAUUAGGGUCACUGGCUUAAUUUUUUUUUUUUAAGAAACUAAUUAAUUGUGACAAUACAGAACAAGUGUGUGUGUUUGUUUUAAGGAAAUAUUAGCCUGAAGGGCUGUGGUGUAAGGAGAAGAUUUUGAAAAGUGCAACCAGUAGCUUGGCACGUAACACUCAUUUGUGCCUUUAGAAAUCACCCCAGGCUGAACAGGGAUUGUACGCAUUAAAGUAUUACAGUUAAAGAGUAAAACAAACAAUCCAAUAUCAUUAAACUACAUAAAACCCUACAUUGUAUGGAUAAGGAAACCCUGAGUUACAUUUUAGUGUAACUAAUAUACUGGAGGAGGAGUAGGGAAAUGAAAAAAAAUAGCAUUAAUGUAAUAAGCUUUCUGGGGGUAUUUUCUUCACACAUGUAAACAUUGUGUGGUUUGAUUGCUGGGAAAUGUUUCUGAAGCUUUUUAACUAAGUGCUGGAGUUCUAUGAUAAGUGGUCUCCUGCAGAAAUAUUGCCCUGGGCUCUGGUCUGCUAUGAUUCAAAGAGGCAGGUACUACAUGCGUCUAGUGUGCCUUACAGAUGCUUCUUCACUUCUAUGACUCAAGCAUACAUUUGUUUAGUUUGGCGGAAUCAUCAGCGUUAUGUAGCUUGAGAAUUUAAGCCCACGAGUCCUAAGGAAGUGACCAUUCCUGAAAAUAUGUGAAUUUUGUGACAUUCUGUUCCCCAAAGCAGUACCUGGCACCCCCAUAUUUACCAUGGUGAUAUAAUUUGCGCACAGUAUGCCUUGUAAGGUAUCAUUCGAAAAGUCUUCAUCUGUUAAACAUUAAUAUCCUGUUGGAUUGUAUGUGCUGUCAUUGUAUCUAAAGUUAUGAAUAUUGACUAUGUACCAAUAUUUCAAAUAUGUUUGCUCCUUGAGUGACACCCAUAAUGCAGUUUACAUCCAGUCUAGACAGCACAUUGUGGAUGAACCAUUCAAAGUAAUAGUCCAUUAAGAAAAACAAUAGGCCACAGAAGAAGCUUAUCCUUGCUUGAUGGGCUUUCCUGUGGACACUUCAUACAGAAUCAGAGUAGCAGCCGUGUUAGUCUCUAUUCGCAAAAAGAAAAGGAGUACUUGUGGCACCUUAGAGACUAACAAAUUUAUCUGAGCAUAAGCUUUCGUGAGCUACAGCUCGCUUCAUCAGAUGCAUUCAUCCAAUGAAGCGAGCUGUAGCUCACAAAAACUUAUGCUCAAAUAAAUUUGUUAGUCUUUAAGGUGCCACAAGUACUCCUUUUCUUUCAGCCAGAAUGUAAGUAAUGGCUGUUAUGACUCAUCAAAGCAUGCAAGGACAUAUGAUACUGGACUCCAUCUUGUGCCUGUAUUUUUCCACAAACUGUGCUGGGGACUUUGCUUGGAACAAUGAAGUUCCCUCCACAUGGAAGAAGCUAUAAAAGUGAUAUCAUCACUGGGCCUCACUCCCCCUACAACACAACACCUAGAAACACAUCUGCAAGAAAAGACUUUGAAUGGGGGAUGGUGGUCCCCAGUGGGAAAGAAGGCAUCCCAGCCUGUGUAUGAACGAUCUGAGAACAGCUUGUACCAUCAGGGUGAGAGACUGCUUAAUUCAAAUCCUGUCUAGUUUAUAGAAAUUAGAUUGUGAUUUUGUUUCAUUUUCUAGGUAACUAACUUUGAUCUGUACACUUAUUAUUGUAAUCACUUAAAAUCUAUAUCUUUCGUAGUUAAUAAAUCUUUUAUAUUUUUCACCUAAAA